rnacentral:misc_RNA from 1 species
AAAGAAGGAAACUUCUCAACAAAUGGAGUUCCUUCGAUUUCGGUUACCUUGAUAUCGAUUGCUAAUUUGAUCAUGGAAAUCCGAUAAUGGACAAGGUGUUGAUAGAAUUUUCAUGUUUCAAGGAUCAUAUGUCCCAGGUGCGACCCCUCUUUAGAAGGAAAGGCCUGAAGGUCGCUGAAUGCAGCCAUUGUUUUUCUUGUUGGUAGAGAUUAUCUCGAAGACUCGUGUCUUGUGGUACCGUUCUUAAUGGUGGACAUACUUGGGAUAUGAGGGGAUUCCUGUUUAUCGUUCGAGUGUUUGCUAGGAAGGAUUACUGCUUGCUGAAAUCAGAUGUCCAAACAGGAGAGAGGCUCUGGUGAUUGUUAGAGCCAGAAGUCUCUGCCACAAACACUUCCACUGUUUGAUUAAUGCUCGUCAAACGUUUGUUAACUUUGUAGCGACAAACUCAUUGACAUUUCGCACGGUAUUGAGAAGUUUUUGUGAAUUUUGUGGUGUUCUUCGAUUAUUUAUAUUUCUUUCGGUGCUAAAACAUAACUAUGGCAACUUUACCAAGAACUUCCGGUCAGCUUGGAGCUCUCUCUAUGCAGCCCGGCGCUCUCCCAAACAGCGUCAGAAGGAAGAAGACCAAACCUUCCAAACCCAAACAGGAGAAAAUAGAGGAGAAACUUGUGGAAGAGAAUCAGUCAAAGGCGGUCGCCAUGACGCUGACGACUAUGCGGGCCGGGUUACAGCGGGCCUACUUAGACGGCCUGGAGUUUAUACGCAACAAAAUCUCGGACACCGAGACCGAAGUCACCAAAACGAGGCUGUCGUUCUACAGCUGUAACGAGACGGACGAGGACAUUAAAUGGAUUCAAGCAGGAGAAGAAGUGUAAGCACACAGAGAAAGCCCAGAAAUCUAGCAUGGCCGACUUUCUAUCCAUUACAAUGACACAGACACGGAAAAAUUAUAACCUACAAAUGAAAAGACAACGUCUAGUGAAACAGGUGCGCGAACUGGAGGAAUUUCUGAUCGGAUUAGAGAGAGAACUUUCAAAUGUGGAGGAUGAGUUAAUGGUGAAAUCUCAGGAAAGGAUUCUUAUAAACGAAAAGGUAGAGACCAGUGUCAAAACGUACGAUACGCUCAAAACGGACUUCGAAAAAUAUUCUGAUAAUUUAGAGAAACUAGAACAAGAGGUGAAUAUUCUGUCUGGACAGUUAUUGCAGCUGGAAAUUAUUCAGACUUACAAAACAAGUCCCGAGAACGUGGAACAGAUCUUUGAUCGUCCUCAGACUGUGAAACUAGCACCGUCGUUAAAAGAAAAGAUCAAACGGAAGCGGAAAGGACUUCCGGUGACCGAAAGUUGACGCAUGAGCGUCGACACUAUUUGUUUUCCCUUGCUUGUAACGUGUACAAUAUUGCAUGUAGAAGACUUUAUCGUUUCAGGCAUAGUCAUACUGCAUUUAUUAAAAGAGCACCUUGCUUAUUAUUUACAUAUGUCACAAAUGGCGAACACAAAUUGUUAUUGUUAUUAUACGAUGUUGUUGAAACAGUCCUGUGUUCGUUCUACAGAGCCAGAACGGAAGCAGGUGCCCCUAGUUACCUAAGUCUGCAAACUAAGCAUACCUCAUUAUGACAUUCAGUCUAUGUUGCCAAAAUACGCAAUAAAAGUUACAGAAAUG